rnacentral:rRNA from 1 species
CCUACGGGAGGCAGCAGUGAGGAAUAUUGGUCAAUGGACGCAAGUCUGAACCAGCCAUGCCGCGUGCAGGAAGACGGCUCUAUGAAUUGUAAACUGCUUUUGUCAGGGGGUAAAUCCCGGUACGUGUGUCUGGUUGAGAGUAUCUUACGAAUAAGGAUCGGCUAACUCCGUGCCAGCAGCCGCGGUAAAACGGAGGAUUCAAGCGUUAUUCGGAUUUAUUGGGGUUAAAGGGGUAGUAGGGGGGUCGAUAAGUUCGGGGUGAAAUCCCGGGGCCCAACCCCGGCACUGCCUGUGAUACUGGCGGGCUAGAGUUGAGUUGAGGUAGGCGGAAUGUACGGUGUAGCGGUGAAAUGCAUAGAGAUCAUACAGAACUCCGAUUGCGAAGGCAGCAUACCAAACUACGACUGACGCUGAGGCACGAAAGCGUGGGUAGCAAACAGGAUUAGAUACCCCUGUAGUC